GCCAUCUUAGCUCAGCCGGUCAGAGCGGCUGUUUCGUAAACAGCAGGUCGAGGGUUCGAUUCCCUUAGAUGGCU
rnacentral:tRNA from 1 species